AGAAACCUAAUCCUUAACUGAGAAGAAAUGCUAAGUUAAAAGUUCAUCACAAGGAACAGAGCAGAUAAUGUUCGUAGAGCAGACUCAGCAGUGGACUCAACGAUCACUAUGAUAACCUCAACGACCGUAGUUCUACCUCGACGAUUGUAGUCCUCCCAAAGACUACACCAGCUCAGGAAGAACUAAGGGCAAAUUAGUAUUUUUCCACACAAGUUAAAUCGUGGAGCCAAGUAGAACUC
rnacentral:lncRNA from 1 species